ncrna:unclassified sequences skipping-rope RNA
GUUGUUUGAAGUGGACAAUUGUGCCCUCCACACACCUACUAAUAAAUAGGUCAAAAGAGAUGUAGGAUUUGGCACACCUACCAAAUAGC